rnacentral:rRNA from 2 species
UACGUAGGGGGCAAGCGUUAUCCGGAAUUACUGGGUGUAAAGGGUGCGUAGGCGGCAAUGUAAGUCAGGUGUGAAAGCCCAAAGCUCAACUUUGGGACUGCACUUGAAACUAUGUAGCUAGAGUACAGGAGAGGAAAGUGGAAUUCCUAGUGUAGCGGUGAAAUGCGUAGAUAUUAGGAGGAACACCAGUGGCGAAGGCGACUUUCUGGACUGUAACUGACGCUGAGGCACGAAAGCGUGGGGAGCGAAC